ACACGGGGCAUGCCUUAGUACGGCGAGUGAAGCGGCAAAAGCUCAAAUUUGAAAUCUGGUACCUUCGGUGCCCGAGUUGUAAUUUGGAGAGGGCAACUUUGGGGCCGUUCCUUGUCUAUGUUCCUUGGAACAGGACGUCAUAGAGGGUGAGAAUCCCGUGUGGCGAGGAGUGCGGUUCUUUGUAAAGUGCCUUCGAAGAGUCGAGUUGUUUGGGAAUGCAGCUCUAAGUGGGUGGUAAAUUCCAUCUAAAGCUAAAUAUUGGCGAGAGACCGAUAGCGAACAAGUACAGUGAUGGAAAGAUGAAAAGAACUUUGAAAAGAGAGUGAAAAAGUACGUGAAAUUGUUGAAAGGGAAGGGCAUUUGAUCAGACAUGGUGUUUUGUGCCCUCUGCUCCUUGUGGGUAGGGGAAUCUCGCAUUUCACUGGGCCAGCAUCAGUUUUGGUGGCAGGAUAAAUCCAUAGGAAUGUAGCUUGCCUCGGUAAGUAUUAUAGCCUGUGGGAAUACUGCCAGCUGGGACUGAGGACUGCGACGUAACUCAAGGAUGCUGGCAUAAUGGUUAUAUGCCGCCCGACCUGAAUCGAGGGACCACAAAAUGGGG
rnacentral:rRNA from 1 species